rnacentral:rRNA from 1 species
GACGAACGCUGGCGGCGUGCCUAAUACAUGCAAGUCGAGCGGACGGAUGGGAGCUUGCUCCCAGACCGUCAGCGGCGGACGGGUUAGUAACACGUGGGCAACCUGCCUGUAAGACUGGGAUAACUCCGGGAAACCGGGGCUAAUACCGGAUAACUCUUUCCCUCCCCUGAGGGAAAGCUGAAAGAUGGCAUCUCCCUAUCCCUUACAGAUGGGCCCGCGGCGCAUUAGCUAGUUGGUAAGGUAACGGCUCACCAAGGCGACGAUGCGUAGCCGACCUGAGAGGGUGAUCGGCCACACUGGGACUGAGACACGGCCCAGACUCCUACGGGAGGCAGCAGUAGGGAAUCUUCCGCAAUGGACGAAAGUCUGACGGAGCAACGCCGCGUGAGUGAUGAAGGUUUUCGGAUCGUAAAACUCUGUUGUCAGGGAAGAACAAGUACCGGAGUAACUGCCGGUACCUUGACGGUACCUGAUCAGAAAGCCACGGCUAACUACGUG